UAUGCUGCUAACGACAAUGUGCAUUUGGUUCCUGUUGCCUACUGUAAUAACUAACGUUAACUAACUAAUAAUCUGUUUCAUUUUGUGCCACAGCCUGGUUUUCGAAAACAUCUGGGACAUCUUGAAAAGAAGAAAGAUUACAAACUUCGUGCAGAUGACUACCACAAGAAACAGAACACCCUUGCUGCUUUGUGUAAAAAAGCCUUGGACAAGAACCCUGAUGAGUAAGUCAUCACUCAGGGGAUGUUACUUAGCCUGGCCCCAGGUCUGUGCUGUCUUGUCAACUCCUCUGGUCAUUGUCAAGCCAAACACAAUGGAGUAAGACCGCACAGGUCUGGGACCAGGUUAUACAAGAGUAGCCAGGUCCCAGAUCUUUUUGUGCACUUGCCAACUCUAUUGCUUAUUGUCAAGCGUGAUAAUCAGUUGGCAUGAUGGCACAAACAGACUGACACUCGGGCUAAUACAAUAGCUAGCCUAUAUAUGGUCAUUUCAUGUUUGACUGUUUUACCAUGUCCAUAUUUCAUCCUUGCUUCCAUCCAAAACGUGAUUUAUUAAUGGUUGUGCCAUUUCUGCAGUCUGAUAAUAAAAUCCCCUCUCAUCUCUG